rnacentral:rRNA from 1 species
AUACGGAGGGGGCUAGCGUUGUUCGGAAUUACUGGGCGUAAAGCGUACGUAGGCGGACUGAUCAGUUGGGGGUGAAAUCCCAGGGCUUAACCCUGGAACUGCCUUCAAUACUGUCAGUCUUGAGUUUGGGAGAGGUGAGUGGAAUUCCUAGUGUAGAGGUGAAAUUCAUAGAUAUUUGGAGGAACACCAGUGGCGAAGGCGGCUCACUGGCCCAUUACUGACGCUGAGGUACGAAAGCGUGGGGAGCAAACAGGAUUAGAAACCCUAGUAGUCC